CCAGAGAUCCUCAUUAUUAAGGAUUUUGUUUUCCCAUAUUGCAUCUGGUCAGUACAAGCAGUACUCAGACCCACAAGGAAAACAGCUUUCUUGCCCUGUCCUGUGCAACAGCACUGCUCAAAAGUGGUGUGCUACAGAUGCCAGACAUCAGUGCAUCUGAUUUUCAGACAGUGACCUUGCUGUUCUUUUGCCUGUACCUGUUCUGAGGACACAAUCAGACUGCCAAGAAAAACUUACCUUAUUUACCUUAUUCUAGUAAGAAUUUUACCUUUUCCUGGACCUAGAUUUUGCAAAAUUAAAAAGAUGUUUGGUGUGGGUUUUUUUUGUUGUUAGUUUAAAUGUUGCUUCUGACUAAAGUUGAAAGCAUACAUGUGUGCAUACGUAUAGCUGUUACUUCAGGAAUAUUAUUCAUUUUCCAAUGAAAAAUAAAACAAUAUGUAAUGGAUUACCACAGAUUUUAUCAGAAUAGCCUUAAAUAUUGCUAAAUGAGAUAGAACAUGUACCUCAUGGCAUAUGUUAUCAUGAGAAGAUAAACAUUGUACCACCUUGCCUGAAACUAAUGAUUGUUUCAUUUCAUCCUUGGGGCACAGCUUAUUUUCCAGCUUAUUUUCAAAACUAUUGGACCUGAAAGAAAAAAAAAAAAAAAAAGAAGAAAAAAAAAAUCUUCAGCACUAAUAUAUAUAAUAUACAACCAAUUGUUUUUACUGUAUAAAUGAAAAAGUCUUAGCUCUUAGUUCAUUAAAGCAGCCAUGGUCUGACAAAGAAUAUAACCAAGAACAGCAAACUGUAAGAUGCCUAGUGAUAAAGUAUGACUUAAUAUAAAGGCAAUAAUAAUUAAUGACUGUGUUUAGUCUCUAGAAAUAUUUGCAUUUACAGCCAAGGUUUUUGUUUUAUCUACAUGAAUACAGUGGAUAUACUUGACACCUGAUUUUAAGAUAAUCUUUUUUCCAGCACAGAUUUUCUUCAUUGAAAUACUGGGCUAUAAGUUCCUUCUUAUCUCAAAGUAAUCAGAGGCUGAUAAUAUUUCUCAUCCCAAAUGAAAUCUGGUAUAGAAAUGUCUAGUUUUGUACUUCAUGUCUUUCAUACUGCCAGAGCAAUUAUUGCAGCUUAGAGGUAAUCAGCAAAGUACCAGGUGAAAAAGCUGUCGUUUCAGUAAAGAGCUCUGGUGGCAUAACAAAAUGCAAGGCAGCCAUUUCAUCAGAGAACACCUCUGCAAUUCCAUCCACUCAGGCUGUCAAUUAAAACAUUGUUUUACUGAAUACCUGACAUCAAACUCAUAGCAAAGGAACUGUCUGACUUCAGAUUCAUUCUAUUAAAAAAAUUACUGGGUGACACCUUAACAAAAGGAAUAUUCUGGCACCUGUAUAUUGUCAUCUUCAACAUCAAAUUGCAUAAUACUACCACAAAAGUGCUGACAAGUUCUGGUCACAAUAAUAGAAAAAAACAAGAGCGGCUGACUGUUUAGUUUAGACAUGAUUCUUGCACUUCAUAUAUGUAAUAGUGUCUAAAUAUAGCUUGAAAGCCCACAUUCAAUACCUUACUUCCUCACAAGAAAAAAACAGUCUGGGAAUUUAUUAGACUAAUCCUGCCCUAAGUUACACAAACCUCCUGUGUGACUUCCCUCUUGGUGAAAAAUGUCUGGCUAAGUAAGUUUAGCAAUGGCUUUGUCCUCAUUUUAACACUUCGGUUGAACAAAAGGUGAGCUGUUUGCAGGUUUGUUAGGAUAAAUGACUUCCUGUGUCACCUUGUUAUGAAUCCCAACUAUUUGAUCCCAAUAGAUGUGUCUUCCCCAGAUCAUUACAGAAAAAUAACAAUAAUAAUAAUAAUAAUAAUAACAUUUAAUAAUAACAUUUAAUAAUAAUAAUAACAUU